UCUCCCGCUCGUCCUCCUUUUGCUAAUCCUGCCUCCUUCUCUUCCUCUAAUCCCGGCUCUUCUCCCGCUCCUUUCUCUUCUCCUCCUCCUCCAUCCCUUCUCCUGUUCCCCCCGGGCCCAGCGCCCACGGUUUGUUCACUUCUCGGCUUCUACCUGCGCAAGAAGAGCUCCUGAGCCGCCGGCGGCCGCAGCCGCUCCCGUGGCCUCGGGCCCGGCAGGGACCCCUCGCUCCGUCCCCGCGCUGAUUUUGGGGGGGGUCGUGUGUCCCCCCAGCCCUGCUGCUCCCAAUGUUCCCAUGCCCUCUGCGUCCGCAGCAGCUUCGGCCCCUGGAGCAGCUCCCCCACUCCCUCCACAUGCCACAGACUGUGGAACAUACUGGACACCUGCCAGAUGUGUCUGGUCUGCUCUGCAUCCUGCUCAGAAUUACAGACAGCAUCCUUAUGUCCCUUCAACAGACAUCACAGAGCCAUGUAAUCCAAACAAUUGGUGACUACCUCAUAGAAAACUGGGACUAUUGAAAUAACAGUUGAUAUAAAGACUCUAUUUGUCUACAAAUUGCAUUAUUUUUUCUUAAAGUUGAAUGAAGUUUUCUUAAAGUUGAAUGUUUCAAAGUUUUUUAAUUUCAGUUUAGAGUUAAGAUAUAACUUACAACUUUGUUUACAAACUGCUUUUCAUAUUUACAAACUUUUUCUGCUUAAAAAAUUUUUCUAGUUUUCUAUUUAUAGAUUGUUUAUUUUAGUAGUUAGACUUUAUUUAACAGUUUUAAGAGUUAAGCAGCUUGUUGUUGUUAAAAAU